ACCAUUUAUGGAGCUAGCCGUCGAAGGUGGGACAAAUGAUUGGGGUGAAGUCGUAACAAGGUAGCCGUAUCGGAAGGUGCGGCUGGAUCACCUCCUUUCUAAGGA
rnacentral:rRNA from 1 species